rnacentral:lncRNA from 1 species
UUUAAAUUUUUUAUCUUCUUGGAAAGAAUUUUUAAUUAUUUAGUCUUUUUUGAUAAAAGUUACAUUUUUAAUUUUUCUUUCAGUAUAUUUUGACUUAUGACAGUUUAUCCUUAUUCAGUACAACAGUUAAUUCUUAAGUAGUAUAAAAAUACUAAAGAAUUUAAUAUCUGUACAGGCAUAUUUCACAAGUAUUAUGGCUGUUAUAUUCUAAACCACUGUUGUAAAGCAAAUUGCAAACUUUUCUCAUUUGCUAGUGUUUAUAAAAAUCUAAAAACAUCUACAAUUACCAUUAAAUGCCAGUAUCAAUAACUAACAAAUUCAAUUGGAUGCCUGCAUGACAAAGCAUUCUCUUACCACUUUGGAGAAACUGGGUUCAGUUCUAGGUUUCACACUAACAGUUUUUCAGAAUUGAAAACAUGAAAUUAGCAGUGUGCUAUAAAUCAAGAUAUGCCUGUAUUUGUUUUAAUCAAAUUGUUACUAUUAUUGCUUAUGCUCUUUCAUGUAAUAUUUUUGAGUAUUAUUGUUUGUUGUUUUUUAAUCUUGUUUGUUUUUUAUUUUAUACAAUCAUUUUAUUUAAUGAACAUUGCAUAUUUUUUCUGCUGAUUUUGAAUUGUGCAAUUCUUUAUCACAAAAUAAAGCUAAAUCAUAGACAGUUAUGUUGUCCUGCAAUUAGUCAUGUUUGAAGUGCAAUACAAUAGUAAUUAAUUUUUAUCCAGAAAGUUUGUUUUUCUAGCUUUUCAAACUUUAAUAAUAACUGGAACUCAUAAGCUAUUAUUUAAGAAAAAGUUUGAAAUGCUAGAAUAGGCCUUUUUAAAUAAAAAAAAAUUAUUACUGUUUUUGAAAUGGCAAUUGCAUAGUUUUAGCAACUUUUUCAUGCACAAUAGACCUACAUUGGUCGCAGUGCUUGGGCUGUACAGGCUCCUCCCUUUCUAGCAACUUUUUGCUGUAAGGACUAAUUUCCCAUAUAAGAUAACAUAAUCAAUAAACUGAUCAUUGUGUUGGAAGCUAUCUUUAUUAAGUAUGUGAGAAAAUGAAUCUGGUAGCUAAAAGUUUAAUAAAA